CAAAGUACUACCCACCCCCGACAUUCCUUCCCCAUCUUUCCAACUUAGGGGUAUAAUUCUCAACCGUCGACCCAACCUUUUCAAACCCAAUAAUUUCCCAUACAAACCCACCUACCUCAUCUUCCACAUAAUACACAUAUGUUGACCCGCCUAUCUAGAUCGGAAUUUCCGCGAUUCAAUAGAAUGGACUUUAAGGGUUGGUGGUAUAAGGUCGAUCAAUUCUUCUCCUUGGAUG
rnacentral:lncRNA from 1 species